AGGCGAGCUGCUGAGGACCGGGCUGUGUCGCCGGCAUGUCCUCUUCCGUGAAGGCCCUGGGUCGGCUGCUGCUCCCCUGCGGCCAUACAGAGGAGGCUGCCCAUCCUGGCUUGACUGCCGGACCUCUCUGUGCAGGGUCUGAAGAUGGUUGGGCUCAAGAUCAUUUCCCAGGCGCUGGCCUAUGCUGAGGUGGCCUGACUUCCACCCCAGUACGACCUCCACUCUGCCUUCAUGGGGUGAUUCACGUAGUUCUUCCUAGACAUCUCCCGGGAUGUGACUCUGGGCCCCACGGCGAUCAUGUCUCUCCUGGUCUCCUACACCUUCCAUGUGCCUGCCUCUGCUGUGCUGCUGGCCUUCCUGUGGAGCUGCAUCCAGUUAGCCAUGGGGUUCCUGCACUUGGGCCAUGGCUUCCAGUGUCCUCUGGGACCAGGCAGAGCUGGGAUCAACUCGGUGUUCCCUCUUGGCCAGCCAGGAUUCCUGUGGACUUCAUCUCCUGUCCGGUCAUUAAAAGUUUCACCUCUCCUGCCACCGUCACCGUGGGCUUCAGGCAGCUCAAGCAAUCAACACAAUGAAGGUCAGACUGCAUGUUCUGUGAUGUCAAGGCUUAUGAAACACCCACAGGGAUGCAAAGCUGGACCAGGCCCCCACUUUGGGCAUUAUCUUACUUGUGAGAGGUUGGCCAAUUCAGAGAAAACCAGAGGCUCCAAACUUCACUGCUGGACACUGUCUAGUCAUCUUCAUAGUCAACUGUGUUGGAAGAUCUUGACUGUCUUCUUGACCAGCAAAAAGCUGGCUAUUCACUGAAUAAUUAAUAAAAACUAUCACUAUAUUUUCACCAGUACAAUUCUGUGAGAGUGAAUGGGUUGGGUGAAAAAUAUAUAAUUGGUGCUUUUCUAAAUGGAGUAUUUUAAAUAAUCCCUAAAUUGUAGGAUUAAAUGUGUGUUCUGGCUCAUAAAUUGACCCUCACCAUACACAUUACUUUGAUCUGUUCAUGAAAACUAGCAAUAAAAAGGGAAGUGACCAGCUUCCAAAUACAUGGAACAAGUGAAAAUUUUAGAACAAAAAGGAGAGAGCUGCCGUGUUUAAAAUAAGUAGA